UUCCUGGACUUUUUGAAUAGUUUUAUUUUUUAUUACACUAAGUAUUGUAACGAUAUUGGAAACACCGAGAAUACCAGCUGAUUCUACGUCAUCCCAGAAUAACAAAGAACCUUCGGCCGGAAUCAUGGUCAACCGAGUAUAUAAGGAGCGUCGCUAACAGUCAGUUGACAGUUCAGUGUAAUGCAGUUCGGAUUAUUGGCGCGAUAUUUAAAUAAAUCAGUUGACUAUUUUCGUGUAUGGAUUAUUUUAAUUUACAUUUAAUUUAAUUAAAAUGUAUAGGAUAGUUCACUUUCAUUAUUCAAGCCUUCCAGGCAUUUGAGGCCACUUGCCUUUAAUUCCUGGACUUUUUGAACAAUUUUAUUUUUUAUUACUCUAAGUAUUGUAACGAUAUUGGAAACGCAGAGAAUACCAGCUGAUUCUACGUCAUUCCAGAAUAACACAGAACCUUCGGCCAGAAUCAUGGUCAGCCGAGUAUAUAAGAAGCGUCGCUAACAGUCAGUUGACAGUUCAGUGUAAUGCAGCUCGGAAGAUUGGCGCGAUAUUUAAAUAAAUCAGUUGACUAUUUUCGUGUAUGGAUUAUUUUAAUUCCCAUUUAAUUUAAUUAAAAUGUAUAGGAUAGUUCACUUUCAAUUUUCAAGCCUUCCAGGCAUUCGAGGCCACUUGCAUUUAAUUCUUGGACUUUUUGAAUAAUUUUAUUUUUUAUUACACUAAGUAUUGUAACGAUACUGGAAACGCCUAGAAUAACAGCUGAUUCUACGUCAUUCCAGAAUAACACAGAACCUUCGGUCGGAAUCAUGGUCAGCCGAGUAUAUAAAGAGCGUCGCUAACAGUCAGUUGACAGUUCAGUGUAAUGCAGUUCGGAUUAUUGGCGCGAAAUUUAAAUAAAUCAGUUGACUAUUUUCGUGUAUAGAUUAUUUUAAUUCACAUUUUAUUUAAUUUACAUGUAUAGAAUAGUUCACUUUCAUUUUUUAUUUUAAUCCAGACAAUCGAAGUCAUUUUUCAAGCUUCCCAGGCAUUUGAGGCCACUUGCAUUUAAUUCCCGGACUUUUUGAAUAAUUUUAUUUUUUAUUACACUAAGUAUUGUAACGAUACUGGAAAUGCCUAGAAUACCAGCUGAUUCUACGUCAUACCAGAAUAACAUAGAACCUUCGGCCGGAAUCAUGGUCAGCCGAGUAUAUAAGGAGCGUCGCUAACAGUCAUUGACAGUUCAGUGUAUGCAAUUCGGAAUAUUAGCGCGAUAUUUAAAUAAAUCAGUUGACUAUUUUCGUGUAUGGAUUAUUUUAAUUUACAUUUAAUUUAAUUAAAAUGUAUAGGAUAGUUUACUUUCAUUUUUUAUUUUAAUCCAGACAAUGGAAGUAUAUUUUCAAGCUUUCCAGUAUGGUAACGAUAUUGGAAACACCGAGAAUACCAGCUGAUUCUACGUCAUCCCAGAAUAACACAGAACCUUCGGCCGGAAUCAUGGUCAGCCGAGUAUAUAAGGAGCGUCGCUAACAGUCAUGGACAGUUCAGUGUAAUGCAAUUCGGAAUAUUGGCGCGAUAUUUAAAUAAAUCAGUUGACUAUUUUCGUGUAUGGAUUAUUUUAAUUUACGUCAGUUUAAUUUACAUAAAAUAUAUUUUUUUCUUUUGACAAAUAAACGAUUUUGUUGC